AAAUGUUGCUUUAAAUUUGAUUGCAAAACUGUCUUUCAUAACUGAAUUGCUUGUGUGCAUGUUUUGGAAACUAAAAUGCAUAGCAUAUAGGCAGCAUCAUCUGGAGGAGACACCGUAAGAAGAAAUCUGAAUAUUUACAUCGAGAACCUAUGUGUUUCUUAUAAGCUAAAAGGAACAAUGUAAUAGCUGAAAACAGUAAAGGUUGUGCAACAGGAGUAUACGGUUAUCAUCUCUAAUCAGAAAAAAGAAUUUUAAAGAACAAUUUAAAUAGUUUUGUUCGUAGUGUAGUGAGGGAGGAUCUAUGUAAGAUUUAAUCUGUACAAACAAAACCAACGGGGAUAAAGUAUAAGUUGCACAGAUGUAUUUGUUUUUGGAACAGUUAAUUUGGCAAGAUAUUUUACCCUCUUGUGUAACAAUGUAAGAGACAACAGAGCUACUUUAGGUUAAGGAGGUUAAUAACGAAGGAGUUGGCAGGCUUAGCAACAACUGAUGGAGUCGCCGCAGUAUAUGUAAGCCAACGGAAGAAAGUACCAGACUAACAGUAAUAAAGGAUAGAUCGGUAGCAUAGUUAGAACAGUGGUGCUUUAUUAAGUCUCAGGGUACAUAUAGUAGUGGAUAAUUAAAGGUAUGCAUAUUGGAUAACUGUACAUAGAUAAUCAUACUUGAGAUUUGAAGAGCAAACACUCACACAUUGAGUUUUGGGUAUGCAAUCUUAGGAGACUGCAAGGCUAUUCACCUAGGAUACUAUUAGUUAAGAUAGACCUAAUAGCAUAAGCUGACAGGUUGAUGAGAAGCUUUAUUUGCAGCUGGGUGGUUGGUUUACUUGCUUGAUUUCCUUGACGAUGCGCUUGUCCUAGCCUUGUCCUGUGAUGACAGCCUAUAAUCAAAAUAAGAUGUAGAAUCAGUGGAUGGUUACGAUGAGAUAUGAGGUACAUAAUCAUCAGGUGGGCUAGACAAUAACCUGGCAAGGCUAAUGCUACUUCUUCCCUUUGAAUAAUGCCUUGGCAGAUGGCAGGUCCUUAUUUCUUGUCGUUGGUGUUCUUCCACUUCUUAUGUUUGAUUGCCUUACCUAUGUCCUGGUAGAAAAAGAAAUUAGAACACAUCGGAGCAGUUAUUUAUAGAGAACCGUGUAGGCUACUUUUUACCUCUGGUUCGUCAUCAUCGGCUGGUCCAGUUAUAUCCUUCGAAGGCGUUGUCUGUGAGCUGGAGCCUUCUGGGAGGUGGCCCUGUGUGCCUUCGAGGUCAUCGGCUGGAGCGAUCGUCUUAUCAGCUAUUGCAAGGCUAGUGUCGGUAGAAGAUCUGAGGCACUGUGUUAGUGAUUAGCCGGGCCUUCGAGACGGUAAGAAACACUAUCCGAGGAUCAGCAUCGUAGGUCUCCUGGUCUACCUCGGCGAUGAUAGUGCACUUCUUGCCAACUGUGGCACUAAUAGCAGCGCGGACAUAAUUAGGACGGCAUUUAGUGAGUGGAGCAAGAAGAUCUGCCUCUUUUCCUGCGAGAGCCUCGCCACUCUCGCCGAGGAAUGUCAAGUGGCCAGUGACGGGCACAUUGUCAGCGUUUGGUUCCACAUCUGUUACGCUAACCUUCAGCUUGUACCUGCGUAGAUCAACUGUUGUUUAGCAGGCGCAUACAUAGGAAACAAAAUGAGCAUGUGCAGACAGUAUGGUGUACAAUGUAUGCCUUGCUUCUAAUAGAAACCUGAUAGGAGCAUCAAAGGACUUUGCAACGAUGUAUAUAGGGGGAAGUUCACAGUCUCAGGCAUGUUCUCCUUACUUUUGUGUUCUGUGAAAUCCGAAUCCUAUAAUAGUGAUCUCCUGCUCUAUAGUUCUUCCGGGGGCCAACGAUCAUAAACGACUCCAGCUUGUAAAGUAUGCCUUCCUUUAGUUCAUCUUUAAAUUGGUCUAUCCGGUCCGAGAGUAGAGAAACUUCUAUCCGUGUAAAUGUACAUUUGAUGGGACAUGUUGUCCGUGACUAAGACUUACUGGCAAAUGUGUAACAUUGUAAGAAUAUCAAUGGAACGUGAAUGUGAAGCUGAUUGCAUGCAUUUUGAGUGCAGGCGACAAUGACUGAAUGGACAUCACAAGUGUUCGCAUAGGCAAUGAUGAAGAUAUAUAUCGAAAAGUAAAGGAACGGUAAAGGGAUCGGUAAUACAUGCUGGUGUGAAGAAAGUACCAAAUGAUGAACGAACAUGAAGCCUAUCUCAUAGCGCUCAUGCUGUUUGUUCAUAUUGUCCCACAUCCGUGUGAUGCGCACAACAGCACGCCUCGGAGAUCCUCGAGAGACAGGAUAAACUACAUGUAAGACAGAAGAAGGAAUUACCAACGGCAGCUGCAUCAGGAACCUGUUCAACAGGGUGCUUGCGUAACCCUAUCUCCCGCCUCCAAGCCUCUACGUCAGACAAUACAUGCAAGGCAAGAGUAUGCUCCGAAGAAACGUACCUGGAAGAAGCAACAGCGGACAAAGUUGAGGAGGCAAUGGAACGAUGAACGACAGGUCCACCCCGGCCAAGAGCACGAAGAAUCAGCAGUCUGACCACGCACAGGCGAAGAAGGGUGGAUAGAGCCAGCAAUCAGCAGAGGAACACGAGAGGCAGCAGACAGAAAGGAACACACACAGCUGGCAAAAAAGGACCACGGCCAACAGCGGCAGCGGGAGCAACACCUUGCAGAUGAAGCUGCCGGCGUAGAGGUGGAUGAACUGAAGCGGAAAGUGAUCGCCCACACGAACAACCAGAUCCCCGGUGUACACCCGCACCAGGCCGAGGAACAGCCAGAGAAUCAGUAGCAACCAAGAGGAAAACCCGAGACGGCAGGUGAUCGGAGGCACCAGAGGCAGCAGCAACAACCGAAUCAACAACUGGGAUGCCAACAACACCAGCGGCGGCAUAGAAGCCUGGGGCACGCCCGCGGGAAUACGAUGAGCAAUGGCCCGUCGACCCAAAAGACAGCUCAUCGAGGCUAGGCCAGCUACACAGCGACGAAGACGGAUGCAAGGGCACGGAUGAAGGAAGCGGUGGCACAGACCGCGCAGGCAAUGGCAAGAACGACAUCUGAGCAUGGAUAGAAGUUAAGUCCUCCAGCCCAUGGCGUCGCGACAGAAGCAAAUGCAGAGGCGGCGGCCUCGCCCCGCCAUCCCUUCUCAUUCUGAGACCUGCAACAAAGAAGAUUAACUCAGCCAGGACAAAGCGACUCAAAAUAUGAGGCAGAAGCAGAGGGAAACAAAAGAUUAGAACCUGGCAAAACAGAGGCAAGGAAAUCCGAAUGAGGAAGAAGAAGAACAUGAUGAAGGAAGAAACGGCGGACUCUCCGACACAAACCUGUAAGCUAGGUAUGGACUCGGAAAUUGAGGAAGAGAGGAAUUUACGAAAAAGAAAAGCGGUUGAAAGAAGGAUGGAGAAAGAAGAUGGACACGUAAAAAACAUACGUGUCAAUGGGAGGAUGACUGUGGAAGUCUAAAGACAUGCACGAUCGGUGAAGACCGGGAACACCGGAAAUUAGAGGUAAACGAAAGGAAAGAAAAGAAAGAAACCGAUCCACAAUUUAUGGAUCCACCGGCUGGCUCCCGGUAACCGCGAGUUGUACAUACGAAAAAAAAGGAGAAAAAGAAACAAAUCUGGCGCAUUUACGGGAACCGCUCGCGCGGCUACAGUAAAAAAAGAGUACGUGUUUAAAUUUGAUUGGAGAAAAACGUGGAGGGAACAGUGCCCAAAUCGAUCUCCUUCCGUUAAAAGGGUUCAACUUUGAUAUAGGUUAUAAUAUAAUAUGACUAUGUGGUGGGCAAUGGAACCAUGGAUUGUGU